AAGUGAAUAAGUGCAUAUGGUGGAUGCCUUGGCGGUCAGAGGCGAAGAAGGACGUGGUAGCCUGCGAAAAGGCACGGGGAGUUGGCAAGCGAGCAUAGAUCCGUGUGUAUCCGAAUGGGGGAACCCGGCCCUUAGGGGUCAUCAUUAGCUGAAUUCAUAGGUUAAUGAAGCGAACCUAGCGAACUGAAACAUCUAGGUAGCUAGAGGAGAAGAAAUCAAGAGAGAUUUCCUGAGUAGUGGCGAGCGAAAGGGAAUGAGCCUGCACAAGAUGCGUACAAGUUUAGUGGAAUGAUUUGGGAAGAUCAGCCAUAGAGGGUGAAAGCCCCGUAGAACGAAAAGCUAGUACGUGUACUAAUUGUGCGAGAAGUAGGGCGGGGCACGAGGAACCCUGUCUGAAGAUGGGUGGACCAUCAUCCAAGGCUAAAUACUACUGACCGACCGAUAGUGAACAAGUACCGUGAGGGAAAGGUGAAAAGCACCCCAGUGAGGGGAGUGAAAUAGUAUCUGAAACCUUAUGCAUACAAACAGUGGGAGCUGCGAGAGCAGUGACUGCGUACCUUUUGUAUAAUGGGUCAGCGAGUUAUGCAUAUUGGCGAGCUUAACCGAAUAGGGGAGGCGAAGCGAAAGCGAGUCUUAAUAGGGCGAAAUAGUCGAUGUGUGUAGACCCGAAACCGGAUGAUCUAUCCAUGACCAGGGUGAAAGUCAGGUAACACUGAGUGGAGGCCCGAACCCGUUACUGUUGAAAAAGUAUGGGAUGAGUUGUGGAUAGGGGUGAAAGGCCAAACAAAUCCGGAGAUAGCUGGUUCUCCCCGAAAACUAUUGAGGUAGUGCCUCGUGAGUAUCUGCUUGGGGUAGAGCACUGUUAUGGUAGUGGGGGUCAUUGCGACUUACUGCGCCAUGGCAAACUCCGAAUACGAGCAAGAUUUAUCACGGGAGACAGUCUUAGGGUGCUAACGUCCUAGGACAAGAGGGAAACAACCCAGACCGCCAGCUAGGGUCCCGAAGUAACCGCUAAGUGGAAAACGAGGUGGAGAGUCACAGACAGCCAGGAGGUUGGCUUAGAAGCAGCCAUCCUUUAAAGAAAGCGUAAUAGCUCAC
rnacentral:rRNA from 1 species